rnacentral:rRNA from 1 species
GACGAACGCUGGCGGCGUGCUUAACACAUGCAAGUCGAACGGAAAGGCCCUGCUUUUGUGGGUGCUCGAGUGGCGAACGGGUGAGUAACACGUGAGUAACCUGCCCUUGACUUUGGGAUAACUUCAGGAAACUGGGGCUAAUACCGGAUAGGAGCUCCUGCUGCAUGGUGGGGGUUGGAAAGUUUCGGCGGUUGGGGAUGGACUCGCGGCUUAUCAGCUUGUUGGUGGGGUAGUGGCUUACCAAGGCUUUGACGGGUAGCCGGCCUGAGAGGGUGACCGGCCACAUUGGGACUGAGAUACGGCCCAGACUCCUACGGGAGGCAGCAGUGGGGAAUAUGGCACAAUGGGCGGAAGCCUGAUGCAGCAACGCCGCGUGCGGGAUGACGGCCUUCGGGUUGUAAACCGCUUUCGCCUGUGACGAAGCGUGAGUGACGGUAAUGGGUAAAGAAGCACCGGCUAACUACGU